rnacentral:rRNA from 1 species
UCGCUACUACCGAUUGAAUGAUUUAGUGAGUUUCACGGACUGGCCACAGUGGGGGUUUCUCUGCUGAGCUGGGAAGUGCUGCAAACUUGACCAUUUAGAGGAAGUAAAAGUCGUAA